AACGCUAGCUACAGGCUUAACACAUGCAAGUCGAGGGGCAUCAGGAAGAAAGCUUGCUUUCUUUGCCGGCGACCGGCGCACGGGUGAGUAACACGUAUCCAACCUGCCCUUUACUCGGGGAUAGCCUUUCGAAAGAAAGAUUAAUACCCGAUAGCAUAAUGAUUCCGCAUGGUUUCAUUAUUAAAGGAUUCCGGUAAAGGAUGGGGAUGCGUUCCAUUAGGUUGUUGGUGAGGUAACGGCUCACCAAGCCUUCGAUGGAUAGGGGUUCUGAGAGGAAGGUCCCCCACAUUGGAACUGAGACACGGUCCAAACUCCUACGGGAGGCAGCAGUGAGGAAUAUUGGUCAAUGGGCGCUAGCCUGAACCAGCCAAGUAGCGUGAAGGAUGAAGGCUCUAUGGGUCGUAAACUUCUUUUAUAUAAGAAUAAAGUGCAGUAUGUAUACUGUUUUGUAUGUAUUAUAUGAAUAAGGAUCGGCUAACUCCGUGCCAGCAGCCGCGGCAAUACGGAGGAUCCGAGCGUUAUCCGGAUUUAUUGGGUUUAAAGGGAGCGUAGGUGGACUGGUAAGUCAGUUGUGAAAGUUUGCGGCUCAACCGUAAAAUUGCAGUUGAUACUGUCAGUCUUGAGUACAGUAGAGGUGGGCGGAAUUCGUGGUGCAGCGGUGAAAUGCUUAGAUAUCACGAAGAACUCCGAUUGCGAAGGCAGCUCACUGGACUGCAGCUGACACUGAUGCUCGAAAGUGUGGGUAUCAAACAGGAUUAGAUACCCUGGUAGUCCACACAGUAAACGAUGAAUACUCGCUGUUUGCGAUAUACAGUAAGCGGCCAAGCGAAAGCAUUAAGUAUUCCACCUGGGGAGUACGCCGGCAACGGUGAAACUCAAAGGAAUUGACGGGGGCCCGCACAAGCGGAGGAACAUGUGGUUUAAUUCGAUGAUACGCGAGGAACCUUACCCGGGCUUAAAUUGCAGUGGAAUGAUGUGGAAACAUGUCAGUGAGCAAUCACCGCUGUGAAGGUGCUGCAUGGUUGUCGUCAGCUCGUGCCGUGAGGUGUCGGCUUAAGUGCCAUAACGAGCGCAACCCUUAUCUUCAGUUACUAACAGGUCAUGCUGAGGACUCUGGAGAGACUGCCGUCGUAAGAUGUGAGGAAGGUGGGGAUGACGUCAAAUCAGCACGGCCCUUACGUCCGGGGCUACACACGUGUUACAAUGGGGGGUACAGAAGGCAGCUAGCGGGUGACCGUAUGCUAAUCCCAAAAUCCUCUCUCAGUUCGGAUCGAAGUCUGCAACCCGACUUCGUGAAGCUGGAUUCGCUAGUAAUCGCGCAUCAGCCACGGCGCGGUGAAUACGUUCCCGGGCCUUGUACACACCGCCCGUCAAGCCAUGGGAGCCGGGGGUACCUGAAGUACGUAACCGCAAGGAUCGUCCUAGGGUAAAACUGGUGACUGGGGCUAAGUC
rnacentral:rRNA from 1 species